rnacentral:misc_RNA from 1 species
UGUUCAUGAUGCGGUCGGGAUA